GGAGGUAGCUAGUACUUUCGACUGGCGUGUCCGCGUUUCACGAGCAAGUGAUCAACUGACGGGGGCUGUGGGUAAUGCGAACUCAUUUGCUUUAAGCUUCAAGCACGAGCCAUUAAUUAACUUGAGCCCAUUCUGCGUGACGAAUCGCCAAUUCGUCGGCCAGUCAGCCGAUCACCUUCGAGCACGGAGCUACGUCAGCCUUUAAAGUCCGGCGGAAUUUCGUUGGGCAGCCAAGUGCAAUUAGCUUUGUCAAAGUACAGAACGCUGAGAGUUAAAAGUAACCCACUGAUGGCAUUAAUCAAUUUACGAAUACGCAAUCCCAGCGACAGCUGUUGAUACGCACAGCGCGCUUCACAUGUGGACAGACACUCCAUUAUCAACUAUUUACAUGCAUUUAAUUUGAAUGUCAAAUUCAGAUUUAUGGCCUAGCCUAUGAGAGUUACAAUAAAUGAGAGUCGUUUGCAUAUGAA